GGAUGUGAGGGCGAUCUGGCUGCAACAUCUGUCACCCCAUUGAUCGCCAGGGCUGAUUCGGCUAAUCUGGCUGGCUAGGCAGGUGUCCCCUUCCUCCCUCACUGCUCCAUGUGCAUCCCUCACGAAGCUGCGUUCCUUCGAAGAAGACAGCCUUCCCCGAAUAGAGACGGACCGGUCUUCGGUCAAGGGUAUACGAGUAGCUGUGCUCCCCAGCUAGAACUUCCAAACAAGCUCUCAAGCCAGACUAAGAAAACAGAGCUCCUUCCUAAAAGCAAGUGUAAUUGGGGAGUUCUAAUCAGGAUCCUGACAUGGU
rfam:Erinaceus europaeus unplaced genomic scaffold scaffold00921, whole genome shotgun sequence